CUUCAAAGAUGCACUGGGUGUCUAACAGCAUUGUGAUGUCCUUCACGCCUCGGAAGGAAUGUAUCCGAGAUUUAUUGUAGUUCCAAAUUCUGAUCAGGGCAACGUGGCAAGGGUGCGUGAAGUCAAUGGUGAUGGAGUGGGAUCUGCCCCGCGUGAAGGGGGCCAGCCAGACAUGCAUGUCAUCCUGGGUCCUGUUCACCCCGUCGAUGAGACAUGCAUAAAUCUCUCCUACCUGGA
rnacentral:lncRNA from 1 species